rnacentral:tRNA from 1 species
GUCCGUGUAACUCAGAGGAUUAGAGUGUGAGAUUGCAAACAGAUGUAAACAAUCUUGAAGCCGCGUGUUCGAAUCACGCCACGGACU